AGUCCAAUAGACAAAAUGGGUUAUGUUAGGGCCCGAGGUGGAAUGAUUGUUAAGGGGUGGGAAGGUGAAUAGGUUUAAUAGAAGCUGCCGGUGAUCGUUCCGGUUAUGGGGCAUAAGUUUUGCGGGGCCAAUGCCAAUGCAAGUGCAAGUGCUAGUGCUGUUUGAUAUCUAUUUCCUUCCUUUGAAUUUCUAACGAGGUAUUGAGGUAGGUAUACUAUUCCUCCAUUCUUCUCACCAUUUAUGCAAUGCUUAGUUCCAACUUCAAAUCUUUAGGGUUUCAGAAUUUCCUAGGAAUCUCAUCGUUCUCAACGCCGUCGUUUUCCGUGUUAGCUGAUUGUGUAAUUUUGUUUUCCCGUAAAUUUUUAUCAUUUUACUUAUCGAACGAAUUGAAAAUUUUGUUUAUUGCUGAUCACAAGAAUGUGAAGACGAAUAUGGUUCUUGCAUUUUUGAAAAAUAUAAAGAAACUCAGAAUCGCUGAAUAUUCGUUGGUUUUUGGUGUUUCACCAUUGCUCUGUCAUGAUUUUCGCUUGGUUGGAUUUUGGAUGAUUUUGGUUAGACUCCAAAAAUUGUUUAAAGGGUGAUCCAGCAUUUUGUCCGUAAUUUUGUUAGCUACAUAAGACAUUCAGGGAGCCUGACCUGACCUCUUGUGGUUGUUUCUGCUAUGCCCCUGAUUUCCAAAUCUUCUUAAUGGUUUCAAGAUUUCUUAUUCUUAGUAGUCAAUCAUAUUUUUUUUCCCCCUCUUCUCUUGUAUCUUUGUACGGCUCAUGUUGUAUGAAGCGUGCUUCUAUCACAUUACAAGAAAUGGAAGUUACUGUCUGUACUUCAACUUCUGCUCCGUAGUUUGAUACCAGGGGAUUUUUCUUUUCUUUUCUUUUUUCCUUCUCUAUUUUUGGUGCAAAGAUAGUGCAGAUGAUGGUUUACACUUGAUCUCUGAACUUCAGGUAAGUUCACUUGUUGACAGCUUUCUAACUGAUGCGCUAUUCUUUGCACUGUGGUCCAAACAUUUUGCUGUGCCCUAAUUUGUAGCAUUUGAACAGUACAGGGGUGUCCGGUGGUUGGUUCGAGUGGAUAAAAGGUUUAUUAUAAAUAAAAACCAAGAGAAGUGGAGAAAAAGAGUUGGUCUGAAAUGGGGUAGAUUUUGAAAGUCCUUAGUUUACAUUCAAAUCCUCAAGUCUGCCAUGUUGUUACUGUAGAGAAUUUUAGAAACUGAUUAUUUAUAGUUUUCUUUCUGGUGCUUUCUAUGUUAUUGAAUUCUGCUAUUCAAACUGAAGACAACCAACUUUAGCGUUCAGAUACUUCUCUUGCACACAUUUUUUAUUUGAUUCUGGAGUCAUAGUUAUGUUUUCAGUUCGUCCAAGUUGCAUUUAGCACUGCUGCUUUAUCUCUUACAUGUGCACAUUGGUAGAUAAUAGAGAUGGGCAACAAGUCAAAGAAGACUAAUGAUAAGAGGUGUAUGAUAAAAUGGACAGAACAAUGGGAUGAUUUUUUCAUUCAGGCACUUGUGCAUCAAUAGAGCAUGGGCAACAGGGUUGAUAAGGUUUUUACUACUGCAGCUUAUGAUCAUGUUGUGAAAGAAUUGCGGGAAAAGAUUGGUGAGCCAUUUGAAAAAUGUCAUUUGAAGAAUAGGCUGAAAACUCUCAAAACAUAAUUUUAGUGAAUAUUAUGACAUUUUCAAUGGAAUGAAUGAUUUUUUAUGAAGCCCAGAUACAAAAAUGUGGAGUGCACAGCUUGAGGUUUGGAAAGCUCUAAUCAAGGUUUUUGAUCUUGUUUAUUAUGGAACGUUUACUGAAUUUGGAUACAAAGUGAUCGUUUCUAUUUGUUUGCAUGUAAUGUGAUCACACUUGCUUUCUUUUCCUUGUGAGAUUCAUUUGUUUUCCAACAGCUAAAAUUUUGUCACAAUGCUUGGUAAGGCCUGAUGCAAGAAAAUGGAGGGCUACACCCAUUGCUAACUACAAUAAAUUGGUAUUGCUUUUUGGAAAAGAGAAAAGCGAUGGCGUUGCUGAUGCAGAAGGUGAGAUCCACGUGGGAAAUGGGGGCAACUUGAAUUGUAUUGAUCAUGUGCUGUCACAGAAUGAAGUCAUUCUUACUCUAGAAGACCUAAAUGGUAUGAAUGACGGUGAUCAGUCACCAACAUCUCUAGAAGCAAAUUCUCAAAUAGAUUCUCAGGCACCUUCUCUAUCUGCUACAUCAUUGAAAGGCAAGAAAAGAAAGGCUCCUAGAAAUUUUGAUUUUGAGAGAGAGUUUGCCAACAUAAGGGAAGCAAUUAAAAAUGUUGCUGUGGCAAUUAGGGAGGGAAAUGCUGUUGCAGAGAGAGGUCGACCUCAUGUUUACUCAGAGCAAGAAGUUUUUGCAGAACUGGUGAACAUAGGUGUUGAUUCGCAGAUACGGUAUAGGGCAUACACCUUUCUCAUUUCAAAUGCUGGAAGGGUGAGGGCGUUUUUUGGGUGCCCAACUGAUGAACGCAAGGAAUUUUUGCUUCAGAUGAUGUAUAGUCCCCAAGACUGUUGAUUUACUCACGUGGUUGCAUAUUGGUUUUUAGGCUUGUCUAUACUUUGAAAUUCUUAAUGAUUAGGGAAUUCCUCGUGUAAAUCUUGAUUAUGAAAUAUAGAGUUUGUUUACUCAAAAGGCAGUUUUUGAAACUUCUGAACGAAAUUCAGGAUAUAAAUAUUACAAGCUCGAUGAAAAUGGUCUGUCUUA